rnacentral:rRNA from 1 species
UACGUAGGGUGCGAGCGUUAAUCGGAAUUACUGGGCGUAAAGCGUGCGCAGGCGGUUUGUUAAGACAGAUGUGAAAUCCCCGGGCUUAACCUGGGAACUGCAUUUGUGACUGGCAGCUAGAGUAUGGCGAGGAGGGGGUAGUACUCCACGUGUAGCAGUGAAAUGCGUAGAGAUGUGGAGGAAUACCGAUGGCGAAGGCAGCCCCCUGGGCCAAUACUGACGCUCAUGCACGAAAGCGUGGGGAGCAAACAGG